rnacentral:lncRNA from 1 species
UUUCACCAUAGAAGGUUGUUCCUCAACGAAAUCCUUGUAGUAUUCCACAUCCAUGAUGACGAUUGCACCCCCUUUAUCUGCUUGUUUAAUUAUUAUUGUUUCAUCGUUUUGUAUGCGUUUAAGUGCAGAUAUCUCUGAUUUGUUAAUGUUCGGCCUAACUUUGGUAUUUUGU